rnacentral:lncRNA from 1 species
AAUUGUUUCAUCAAUCUCCAUGUGUUUGCUUUUUUAUUCUGUUUUUGAAUCUAUCCAUAGUCGUCAAUUUCUACCACCACUAGGGAAAGCUCUUCAUAAAAUAAGAACAUCAAGAAGAUAUAUAUCAACUCGGAGAAGAACCUGAAAAAUAGAUAACAUCUAAUCAAAAUACAGACUACUAAAGACAUGCAUCUAAUCUAUUCAUAAAUAUACAAUACUGUCAUGACUCAUGAGUAGUCUACAGAAUACCGCAAUCACAUUCAUGACGAACAGUACAAGGCUAAAUGAACGACCCAAGAGCAACGACCAGUGAAAAUAUGGGUUAGAAGCCCCUAACCGGCCUCUAGUUGAGCUGUCUACUAUUAAAACGAUAUAUCUUUAAUUUAAAUUCGAUAGAAACUUGUAUUAAAAAAACUACAAUAUUUAGGCUAAUGGUGAGUUAAGUGCGUCAAUGAAAUGAUCCAAAAAAUUAUAUCCGUAGAGAGUCCUACCUCUUAGGAAAUGGUCUCUCUUUUACAGUAGAAACGACAUUAAGAAUCACUUACGAAUAGUAGACCGAAAGACGAUGACAGAGUUUUUUUUAUGAAGAGGAAAAAAUGCCUGAAACACACCAGGGUUUUUACAUUUUUCAUUGUCCAAGGUCAACUACGUAAGAACGAUAAGACAUAGAUCGUUAUAGAAAAUAUCGAGUCAGUUCUUAAAGGUUGUUGAAGGCUUAAACGAUCGUAAGAUCACGUAACUGGAUCAACACGGAGGGUGCGAGAUGGAUCGCAUGUGAUCACACCUUUUUUUUGUUUUGAAAUUUAUAUAUUACCAGACAGUUUUAAUUCAAAAAAAAAAAACAGUCUACAAAAAAUUGAUUAAAAUAAACAACAUAAAAAAAAAGUGAUGAUGGUGUGCCCAAGGAACAGUCUUCUCGUUUACUCACAUACUAUUCUUCAGACCAAAGUCUCUUUCUCUCUGUUAUAAAUGGAAAAAUUAUUAAUGGUUCAAAAGUCCCUCCCUCCAACGGUUUUAAGGUAAACAUGUGUGAUUCUUGACCCUAUAGUCCUAUCCCUAUGUGUUCUCCACUGAUAUUAGAGAAGUGUAUUAAGGUCAAUUAUAAUCUAUACUAAAUGAAAUAUUGGUUUCAAAUUGUUUGUGAUGAUUUUUUUUUUUGCACAGUUUUUAACCCUGCCAGAAUUGUCUUCGAUGUCCUAACUAAUAUUGUGAAUAAAACUGAAGAUUGAUCAAUAACUAUAUAUUUUUGAAUUGUUCAAUUAAAUGGAAUGAAAGAAUAGUCCAAUCAAAACAAAAUCCGAUAUCUGAAAGAAAGAUCGAUAUAAAUCUAUUUCAAAUAAUCGAUCGAAAGAUAGAUAGAUAGAUCGAUAUAAAUCAAUUUCAAAUACUCGAUCAACAAAAUCUAUUUCAAAUAAUCGAUCGAAAGAUAGAUAGAUCGAUUGGAUGAACAUUGAGAUCGAACAGAACAACAUAACAAAAAUCAAAACCGUAUAUCAAACUCGAUCGAUCUGUAGAUAGAUAGAUAGUUACCUAUAAUUUCUUAUCAUCAAAUAGCAAUAACGACGAGAAGAACGCUCUCUGACCUAGAAAUAGUUCCAACUAUCGUCUCCCUCUUGCCACUACUCUGCAUUAUUAACAUGAAAUCACU